GUAGGGAAUAUUGGUCAAUGGAUGGAAGUCUGAACCAGCCAUGCCGCGUGCAGGAAGAAGGCCUUCUGGGUUGUAAACUGCUUUUGCCAGGGGAUAAAAAGACCGUGCGCGGUUAAUUGAAGGUACCUGGUGAAUAAGCCACGGCUAACUACGUGCCAGCAGCCGCGGUAAUACGUAGGUGGCAAGCGUUGUCCGGAUUUAUUGGGUUUAAAGGGUGCGUAGGCGGCCCCGUAAGUCAGUGGUGAAAUAUCUCAGCUUAACUGAGAGGGUGCCAUUGAUACUGCGGGGCUUGAGUACAGAUGAGGUAGGCGGAAUUGACGGUGUAGCGGUGAAAUGCAUAGAUAUCGUCAAGAACACCGAUAGCGAAGGCAGCUUACUAAGCUGUAACUGACGCUGAGGCACGAAAGUGUGGGGAUCAAACAGGAUUAGAAACCCCAGUAGUCC
rnacentral:rRNA from 1 species